UACGUAGGGUGCAAGCGUUGUCCGGAAUUAUUGGGCGUAAAGAGCUCGUAGGCGGUCUGUCGCGUCGGCUGUGAAAUCCCGGAGCUCAACUCCGGGUCUGCAGUCGAUACGGGCAGACUUGAGUGUUGCAGGGGAGACUGGAAUUCCUGGUGUAGCGGUGAAAUGCGCAGAUAUCAGGAGGAACACCGGUGGCGAAGGCGGGUCUCUGGGCAACAACUGACGCUGAGGAGCGAAAGCGUGGGGAGCGAACAGG
rnacentral:rRNA from 1 species